rnacentral:rRNA from 1 species
AUUGAACGCUGGCGGCAGGCUUAACACAUGCAAGUCGAGCGGAGACUUCGGUCUUAGCGGCGAACGGGUGAGUAAUACCUAGGAAUCUGCCCAUUAGCGGGGGACAACGUUUCGAAAGGAACGCUAAUACCGCAUACGGCCCUACGGGGAAAGGACAGGGGAGUCUUUUGUACCUUGCACUAAUGGAUGAGCCUAGGCCGGAUUAGCUAGUUGGUAGGGUAAAGGCCUACCAAGGCGACGAUCUGUAGCUGGUCUGAGAGGAUGACCAGCCACACUGGAACUGAGACACGGUCCAGACUCCUACGGGAGGCAGCAGUGGGGAAUAUUGGACAAUGGGCGCAAGCCUGAUCCAGCCAUGCCGCGUGUGUGAAGAAGGCCCUGGUUGU